UCAAUCCUACGGGGGGCAGCAGUGAGGAAUAUUGGUCAAUGGCCGCAGGGCUGAACCAGCCAAGUCGCGUGAGGGAUGACGGUCCUAUGGAUUGUAAACCUCUUUUGUCAGGGAGCAAAGGGCGCCACGUGUGGCGUUUUGCGAGUACCUGAAGAAAAAGCAUCGGCUAACUCCGUGCCAGCAGCCGCGGUAAUACGGAGGAUCCGAGCGUUAUCCGGAUUUAUUGGGUUUAAAGGGUGCGUAGGCGGUUUGAUAAGUUAGAGGUGAAAUGUCGGGGCUCAACCCCGAAACUGCCUCUAAUACUG
rnacentral:rRNA from 1 species